UGUAACUAAAUACAGCAAAUUACUGUAGAUGUAUAUCAGCGGGAAUCCCACCACUUCCUGAUGGAUGUACGUCUCUCUGUGUUCAUACUCUUUUUUUUUUUUUUUUUUUUUUCAUAAAUCCCGGUAAUUAUUUGCAUUAACACAGACAUGGGCAGACUCUGUUUGAUCUCGGAGCAUUUCUAGAGGAAAAAUGCACUGUCAGCGUCUAUUGUUAUGCUCAGUUUAUAAUGGAUGACACAGAGACAACUGCAGCCCCGAUGCCCCGCAAAGCUGUCUGAGGAAAGCUGCAUUUGAGCAGAGCUGAAAGUCCCAUCAAAUUAAUGCUGACUUAAUCCUGAGUGCCCAGCUCUGACUGACGACAACUUCUCCUUCUAUCUGUAUACAUUUUUUGUUUCCUUUUCAACUGCUGUAAAUGUUGUGUAGUCUUCUACUUAAAAGGAUAGUUCAUCCAAAAAUGAAAAUUCUCUCAUCAUUUACUCACCCUCGUGUCAUCCCAGAUGUGUAUGACUUUCUUUCUUCAGCAGAACACAAAUUAAGAUUUUAAGAAGAAUAACUCAGCUCUGUAUCCUUACAGUGUAAGUGAAUGGUGGCCAGAACUUUGAAGCUCCAAAAAGCAUACAAGGGCAGGAUAAAAUAUUCCAUAGGACUGAAUAUAUUGCUAUUCUGAGAUGCGGGUUGGUGCUGUUUUGACGGUACGAGGGGGACCUACACAAUAUUAGGCAGGUGGUUUUAAUGAUGUGGCUGAUCAGUGUAUUUAGUGUUACAUAUGGCUAGCUGUAAAAUUAAAUGUGUAUUGUACUAUUUUACUAUAUAUAUAUAUAUACAGUAUGUACACUGGUGGCCAAAAGUUUGGAAUAAUGUACAGAUUUUGCUCUUAUGGAAUGAAUUGGUACUUUUAUUUACCAAAGUGGCAUUAAUUAAACUGAUCACAAUGUAUAGUCAGGACAUUAAUAAUGUGAAAAAUUACUAUUACAAUUUGAAAAAAAUAUUCAGAACUUCUUAAACUACUUCAAAGAGUUCUCAUCACAAAAUCUGCCACGUGCAGCAAUGACAGCUUUGCAGAUCCUUGAUAUUCUAGCUGUCAGUUUGUCCAGAUACUCAGGUGACAUUUCACCCCACACUUCCUGUAGCACUUGCCAUAGAUGUGACUGUCUUGUCGGGCACUUCUCACACACCUUACAGUCUAACUGAUCCCACAAAAGCUCAAUGGGGUUAAGAUCCAUAACACUCUUUUCUAAUUAUCUGUUGUCCAAUGUCUGUGUUUCUUUGCCCACUCUAACCUUUUCUUUUUGUUUUUCUGUUUCAAAAGUGGCUUUUUCUUUGCAAUUCUUCCCGUAAGGCCUGCACCCUUGAGUCUUCUCUUUACUGUUGUACAUGAAACUGUUGUUGAGCGGGUAGAAUUCAAUGAAGCUGUCAGCUGAGGACAUGUGAGGCGUCUAUUUCUCAAACUAGAGACUCUGAUGUACUUAUCCUCUUGUUUAGUUGUACAUCUGGCCUUCCACAUCUCUUUCUGUCCUUGUAGAGCCAGUUGUCAUUUGUCUUUGAAGACUGUAGUGUACACCUUUGUAUGAAAUCUUCAGAUUUUUGGCAAUUUCAAGCAUUGUAUAGCCUUCAUUCCUCAAAACAAUGAUUGACUGAUGAGUUUCUAGAGAAAGCUGUUUCUUUUUGCCAUUUUUGACCUAAUAUUGACCUUAACACAUGCCAGUCUAUUGCAUACUGUGGCAACUCAAAAACAAACACAAAGACAACGUUAAGCUUCAUUUAAUGAACCAAAUAGCUUUCAACUGUGUUUGAUAUAAUGGCAAGUGAUUUUCUAGUACCAAAGUAGCAAUUUAGCAUGAUUACUGAAGGAUAAGGUGUUGGAGUGAUGGCUGCUGGAAAUGGGGUCUGUUUUCAAAUAGUGAUGGUGAUGUUUUUUACAUCAGUAAUGUCCUGACUAUACAUUGUGAUCAGUUGAAUGCCACUUUAGUGAAUUAAAGUACCAAUUUCCUACCGAAACAGCGAAAUCUACAUUAUUCCAAACUUUUGGCUGCCAGUGUAUAUGAAACAUUUGCAAUGUGCCAAUUAAAUAUAACUUUUAUUGAAUUUUUUCUAAAAAAUUAACAAUUCAAAUAUGGUUAUAUAUUACAGUAACCCAUUUGUUACUGUAUAUGAUAAUUACAGAUAGUUACUGUACAAUUUAAUCAUUUUUACAGUAAUAUACUUAAGCCACCAAUUACAGUAAUCAGUAAAUAACAGUAAACAGCCACUGCAGUAGCUUACUGAACCAGGCUUUUACAGUAACUAGCUGGCAACAGUGUUGCCAGUAUGUUACUGUAAAAAAAGCCUGGUAAAGUCUAACAGUGUAGUUUUGUACUUAUUUAUUAAUCUUACUUAUGUUUAUAAUUUGAAUUUAUGGUUAAUGUUAAAUGAUUUAAUAUUUAUGAUUUUUAUAUAAAUAAUAUUACUACUAAUUGGACUUUUAGCACCUUAUUACAAACCUGGGAAAUUUAUUAUGUCAAUUCUUAUAACUACUGCAUUAUGAAUUGUGCUAUUUAUUGUUCAUUUUGUGGCAAAUACAAACUAUUAAAAAUGCUUUACUAAAUAUUA